AACAAAAACAUCUCUUUUUGAUUUUUAUAUAAAGUAUAACCUGCCCACUGAUAUUAUUAAAUGGCCGCAGUAUUUUGACUGUGCAAAGGUAGCAUAAUAAUUAGUUUUUUAAUUAAAAGCUUGUAUGAAUGGUUGAACGAGGUAAAUUCUGUCUUUAAUUGAUUUAAAAUUGAAUUUAAUUUUUAAGUUAAAAAGCUUAAAUUUUUUUAAAAGACGAGAAGACCCUAUAGAUCUUUAUUAUUUUUUUUAAAAUAAUUUAUUUGGAAAUUUAUUUAUUAUUUUAUUUAAAUAAUUUUAUUGGGGUAAUAUAAAGAUUAAAUAAAUUCUUUAUUUUUAAAACAUAAAUUUAUGAUUUUUAUGAUCCAAUUUUAUUGAUUAUAAGAUUAAGUUACCUUAGGGAUAACAGCGUAAUUUUUUUAAAGAGUUCUUAUCGAUAAAAAAGAUUGCGACCUCGAUGUUG
rnacentral:rRNA from 1 species